rnacentral:rRNA from 1 species
GAUGAACGCUGGCGGCGUGCCUAAUACAUGCAAGUCGAGCGAACGGGCGAGAAGCUUGCUUCUCUGAUGUUAGCGGCGGACGGGUGAGUAACACGUGGAUAGCCUACCUAUAAGACUGGGAUAACUUCGGGAAACCGUAGCUAAUACCGGAUAAUAUUUUGAACCGCAUGGUUCAAAAGUGAAAGACGGUCUUGCUGUCACUUAUAGAUGGACCCGCGCUGCAUUAGCUAGUUGGUAAGGUAACGGCUUACCAAGGCAACGAUGCAUAGCCGACCUGAGAGGGUGAUCGGCCACACUGGAACUGAGACACGGUCCAGACUCCUACGGGAGGCAGCAGUAGGGAAUCUUCCGCAAUGGGCGAAAGCCUGACGGAGCAACGCCGCGUGAGUGAUGAAGGUCUUCGGAUCGUAAAACUCUGUUAUUAGGGAAGAACAUAUGUGUAAGUAACUGUGCACAUCUUGACGGUACCUAAUCAGAAAGCCACGGCUAACUACGUG